rnacentral:lncRNA from 1 species
GAACGAACUAGCAGCUACUCAUGAAGACCACUACAGUAGCUCCGUGGAAGCACGUAGGCCUAGGAGGCAUCGAGAAUCUUUGCAUGACAAAGUACACGACACCUGGUAAAGCAUGCAGAUUCCAACCUCUCUCGCUUAUUUUUGCUGCCGUUGAAAGUUUUAUUAAGCUAAAAUUUGCUCCAUCAAAUUAAGAUCGAGAUGGUACGGAUGCGUUUUGUAACCAACCAUUAUUGCAUCUCGUAGGAUGAUGCCCAUCGAAUCAAAGAUGAGCUUACGCAAUGCAAUCUGGCCUGCCUCGUUGCCAUCCGCAUCCGCAUGGUGGGAUUGACUGUUGCCGACUACCUCGCCGUCGCCGCCUACCAUGCACCCUCGAUUCGUGGAGCAGGCCGUGGUUGCCUACCUCCGCGAUGGCUAUGUCCUGUGUAGAAGACACCGCAGAGUGGCUCGAUAAAGCGCGCCAGCUGUGCUCAUGUGGAUGAUAUUCUAGGGGCGGAACGUCAUUUCAUAGAUGCUCUGCCACAGCAGUUUCAACCACAUAUACGUAAUCUCCAGCGUAAUAGGUAGAUGCCAUUUCUUCCGGUCUUGUCGAGGAGGUGAAACAAAUUAAUAAACGAAAAAAAUGUUUGCUUAUUUUGAAUUUGUUGGAUUCUCAAAUGCAUCCAUGCAUGCAUCUACGUUGAACCCAUAUGAUCCCAAGAAGAUUGCAAAGAUCUAAGUGUUAGGAACAUGCAUGCAUGGUUUUUAGUUUGCCCGACUGUAGGUACACGUUGAUGUGAAUCAGUUUUACGUAACAGCAAUAUGGGGGCUUGGAGCUGACCUGCUUCAUUCUCAUGCUGUGCCGUUGCUUGCUGGGAUUGGAAACACUGCAUGGCGUCAGCUUCAGCUAUUUCACUGCAUUUCAUUUCUUAUGUUAGGAUGCGAACCUACAUAUCGAAAUUGAAGGAAAGGAGAGCCACGGAGUCAGGUUUAUAAAUGAAGCCAUGGUGAGCGUGAUUGCGCACCUAUGUUUAUAAAUCAUCCUAAUAUAAGAAUUGGCAUGGUGAAUCAGCAUUAGCAGCUACAGAUGACAACUCACAAAGCCAUAGUGAGUGCUAGUUGGAACGUCAUUGUCUCGCUAUGGGUAAUCGGCUUGGAGGCAUCAGGAUUUUUU